rnacentral:lncRNA from 1 species
GUGUGAAAAAUUUGAGUUAAGUUCACCAAUUCAUUCAUUAGUUAUUGAGAUUUAAUUCUGAUGUAGAAAUUACUAGAGUUUGCUUAGGAUUUGAUUUUAGGUUUAGGAUUUGAUUAGGAUUUGAUUUAGAAUUAGAGUUUGGUUUAGAAUUUAGAAUUUGGUUAGGAUUUGAUUUAGAAUUAAGGUUUGAUAAGGGUUUGAUUUAGGAUUAGGAUUUGAUUAGGAUUUGGUUUAGGAUUUAGGAUUAAGGUUAGGAUUUGGUUAGGAUUUGAUUUAGGAUUAAGAUUUAGGAUUUGGUUAGGAUUUUAUUUAGAAUUAGGGUUUGAUUUAGGAUUUAGGAUUUGAUUAGGGUUUGAUUUAGGGUUUAGGAUUUGAUUUAGGAUUUAGGGUUUACUUUAGGAUUUAAGAUUUGGUUAAGGUUUGAUCAGGAUUUGAUUUAGGAUUUAGAGUUUUAUUUGAGUUUGUUUAGGAUUUAAGAUUUAGUUAGUUUUUGGCCUAAAAUUUGAAUGAAGGAAGAUUUCAAUUAGGAUUAAAUUAAGAUUGAAUUGAGAUGUAUUUGAGAUAUAUUUGUAAUCAUUCUAAUAUUUCUUUAAGAUUUCUUAUUG